GACGAACGCUGGCGGCGUGCUUAACACAUGCAAGUCGAACGGAAAGGCCCUGCUUUUGUGGGGUGCUCGAGUGGCGAACGGGUGAGUAACACGUGAGUAACCUGCCCUUGACUUUGGGAUAACUUCAGGAAACUGGGGCUAAUACCGGAUAGGAGCUCCUGCUGCAUGGUAGGGGUUGGAAAGUUUCGGCGGUUGGGGAUGGACUCGCGGCUUAUCAGCUUGUUGGUGGGGUAGUGGCUUACCAAGGCUUUGACGGGUAGCCGGCCUGAGAGGGUGACCGGCCACAUUGGGACUGAGAUACGGCCCAGACUGCUACGGGAGGCAGCAGUGGGGAAUAUUGCACAAUGGGCGGAAGCCUGAUGAAGCAACGCCGCGUGCGGGAUGACGGCCUUCGGGUUGUAAACCGCUUUCGCCUGUGACGAAGCGUGAGUGACGGUAAUGGGUAAAGAAGCACCGGCUAACUACGUG
rnacentral:rRNA from 1 species